AUGCCGCGUUUGUGGAACACACUGAUUAGCACCGCUGAGGGAGGCGGGCUGCUCCCUGCAGGAGAACGUGAUGGUGUCUCUGGCCAACGCGCGCCUUCUGCUUCCUGUGUUCCAGCUGGAGAGGAGGAAGUGGCAGCUGGAGAGGAGGAAGUGGCAGCUGAGGAGGCCGGCGAAGAGGAGGCUGCCACUGAUGGCGAAGGAGAGACCGUAGCCGAGGUCGUGGCCGAGGUUGCAGAGGUCGUUGCUGAGGCGGCGGAGGAGGUCGCCGAGGCGGCAGAGGAAGUUACAGAGGUCGCUCGUGAAGUGGAGGCGGUCGCGGAAGAGGUGGCUAAGGCGGCCGAAGCCGCCCCCCAAGCCGCCGCAGAACUAGCCGCCGAGGAGCCCGACAGCAACGUGCCGCUGGCUGCUGCUUCUGCUCUAGAAGUACCAAAGAUCGUUGAAGUGACGGAAGAGUUAGCCGCAGCCAUUCAGGACAUCGAUAAGUCCCUUGCACCAGUUGAGGAGGCUACCAAGCCAGCAGAAGAGUCCCCAGCACCAGUAGAGGCUGCACCAGUUGUUGAAGAGGCCCCAGCACCAGUAGAGGCUGCACCAGUUGAAGAGGCCCCAGCACCAGUAGAGCAGCUUGCACCAGUUGUUGAAGAGGCCCCAGCACCAGUAGAGGCUGCACCAGUUGUUGAGGAAGUCUUGGUACCAUCUGAACCUGAAGUUACCACAGCACUUGCUGAAGAACCAGUCACUACCGCAGUUGAUGAAGAGGCUCUGGCAACCAUCGCUGCAGAAGUAGCGACCCCUCUGGUGGUUGAAGAAGCGGCUACUGAAACCCUUGCCGAAGCUCCGAAGAGAGAGUACAUUGUUGUGGUCCUGGAAGGAACACCUAAAGCUGAUAAGUCACCCAAGGUGCUUGGAGUGGAGUCCAUGACUGGUAGAAUCAUCCCAACUCCAGACGACGACGUCUCUGCUUCUGAGGUAUCAGAUAAUCCGAUUUUUUUGGGAGUAACCUCAGAUAGGACAUAUGAUAAAAAAAAAAACAUGGAUUAA
ensembl:lncRNA